ACAGCCAUAUUACGUUGAACUGUCAGUUCCCAUAUGAUCACUUAAGUUAAGCAAUGUCAAACCUGGUCAGUACUUAGAUAGGUGACCACUUGGGGAUAUCAGGUGCUGUAA